GAUGAACGCUGGCGGCGUGCUUAACACAUGCAAGUCGAACGGAAAGGCCCUGCUUUUGUGUGGCGCUUGAGUGGCGAACGGGUGAGUAACACGUGAGUAACCUGCCCUUGACUUUGGGAUAACUUCAGGAAACUUGGUCUAAUACCGGAUAGGAGCUUCUGAUCCAUGGUGGGGGUUGGAAAGUUUCGGCGGUUGUGGAUGGACUCGCGGCUUAUCAGCUUGUUGGUGGGGUGGGUGCUUACCAAGGCUUUGACGGGUCGCCGGCCUGAGAGGGGGACCGGCGACAUUGGGACUGAGAUAGGGCCCAGACGCGAACGGGGGGCAGCAGUGGGGAACAUUGCACAACGAGGCGGAGCCUGAGACAGCAACGCCGCGGGCGGAAUGACGGCCUGCAGGUUGUGAACCGCUUUCGCCUGAGACGAAGCGUGAGUGACGGUAAUUGGUAAAGAAGCACCGGCUAACUACGUG
rnacentral:rRNA from 1 species